GCAGCAGCCUUCCCCCUCUCCUCUGCUGCUACUUCCCUUGCUGCCAUUGCACACAUGCCUGAUGCCCAAGGGUGUUGAGGACAUGUGCAAUUUCCUGAGGCCCAGAUGAUGAGAAAAGAAAAGGGGAUCCCUUCCAAAUUACCAGAGGGAGUACCUCAAAUGCUCUUCUAAUAUAAAACCUUUAGCCAGUGAGCCUGAGGUCUGUUUAGAAUUGCUAUUUUAUCAGUACAUCAAAGGGCUAACCUUGGGAUCUUGGAGCUUAAUGGCCUUGACCUGGGCCAUGGACAAAAGGCCCAUAGUGUUUGUGAACCCUGACCCCAGAGAGAUUGACCGGCAUUCCCUGGAGGAAGCUGCAGCUGCCUAUGAGGUCAGCUGUUGGGCUCUGGCACUUUCUCUCUAACCACCCAGGUCCAUGCCACAGGUGAUUGAGUAGAGAGACAAAAACUGAAAGCCGCAACUUUACGUGGCUAGAAAUCUAAAAUAUUCUGAGGAAUUUGUACAGAGAGAAAUGAGAGAAAGCAGAAAAUGUGCAUGCCAGAAAAAAUGAGGCAGCCAUACAGAAGAUACUCAGUCUACCACUAGGUUAUGAGCCAAGCAUGCUCUUGCUACACCACUUUGCUGCCUAUGCCUCUGUUGGAAAGAAAUUCUCACCUGUGUGUUUAGAGGGGAAAACAUCCACCCUGUGCCGCAGCAAAGGGAAUAAUUCAGAUGCAACUUAAGCCCAGGAUCUUUAAUCCAUAAGAAGCAACUGUUGCCAUGGAGCAGGCCCGUGGCCCUGAAGAUCCCUGAGAGAUCUGGCCCUGAGAAACUGGAGACUGGGGAAGGGAAUCUAUAAGGUUAAUCCAACUUUAUAUUCUUUCUACUCUGAUCCCAAACUAUUUGCCAGGUUUCUGUUAAUAUAAAGAUGUAAAAUUGUACAUUUCUUUUGAUGUGUAUCAGACCCCUUUAUGGGUCACAAUUUGUACUGUUUGACAAAUAUUGGGUCUUACAUCUGGUUAUAGGUCAAGUGCAAGGAGCGGCAGUGUAGGUAAGUCCUGAAGAGGAUCAGAAUAUCUUUGCAAGACAACUGUGGCACAGAAGGCCAUAUUAGGUUCCUAUGGUCAAGGGAGGCUAAACUCAGGUGGGGAAGGAAGGGCUGGUUCUAUUGGAAAGAAGACUCAGCAGAUACAUUGAAGGUAUUUAUAGGCAUUGAAGACUCAGCUACUUUGAAAUCUGCUCAUGUUUUUCCAUCCCAGUUUUCAAGAUCUCAUUCCCAAUCAAUGCCCUAACUUUAGUAAGAGACCCUGUAAGUUUGGGAACUCAAUCUGCAUUAUAAUCAUGCCAAUCAAAUGAUUCAACAUUGGAUUUGAUAUACAUAAAUCUCAGCCCUGCAGCUUUAGGAAAUAAGAUUUUCUUUCAGGGUAGCCACAUACCCUGAAAGGUAAAAUCCCUUAUGUGGUCCUUGAGCUGGGACUUAAACUCCUGAGCUUCUCAUGUUCUUUCCCCCAAGUUCUCCAGCACAAUUAGCAGUAAACAACCAAUCCCACUAUACUCCUUAUGUUCACUAAAAUAUCUAGAGCAGCAUAUACAUGAUUUCCCCCCCCCCCAGAGCCUUGCUAUCUCUAGGCAUUUGAUUACAGGUGUCCAAAAGUAGUAAUUUGAGUAACCGUAUUAUCACUACGUGGACUAUCAAUGCUCCUUUACCACUAAAAUAGUCCCAUUAAUGGUUUAAAGUCUAAAUAUAAUCUGAUUAUAUAGAAUCUAAUGCAGAUACUCCAGAUUCAGUUUGGUACAAAUUCAUGAUUCAGACAGCAUUUAAUUAGAGACAACCACCAGGAGAGUGUCUAUGUGUAAUGGGACUUGUUACAGAGAGUUGACCUCAUGCAGUUAGGGGAAAUGGCCAAUUUGUCUCUUCAGUAUGGCUGUCUUCAUGUCUGAUGAAGGCACUUGAAGUCCACAGAGCAGAUAAUAAGGAAAACAAGAUAGACAUGACAAAGCAAAAACAAGUCAGAACCCACAAUCAUGAGUAGAGCUCCUAAGGAUGGACUAAAGCCGGAGUUGGUUCUCCUUGCUUCUGACCUUGAUGGUGGGAUUUCUUGCAGAAGCUGGGGCCCUUAAUCAUAGAAGUGAUCACACAUACCUGGUGGAGAAGCUGAAGUAUCCACAUGAAACAGUCAACAGUCCUGAUGCUGCCUUAGGCCAGUGAGGUGGUCAAUAGAUGAGCAGCAGCAUGUGCGAGCUACAAAGUGGCUGCUACAUCACUUAUACCCCCCAAAUAUUGCACAAGAAUGUCUUUUGUCGUCCAUCUCAUUUGGAAAUUACAGAAAAGUGAACUCUGGGAAAUGUAGUGCGGUCUAGCCAAGGUAACACAUUAUAAAGCCACCACACUGGCCUAUUAAGGAACUGUGAAAUCAAUUCAGUGACUUGACUUUUAAAGAAAUAGAACAAAAUCUAUCAGAAUUCAUUAUAGAUACAAGGAAUUAUUGUUUCAUGACAAAUAUGUAUAAUCAUGGCCUGAAUUGUAUUUCCCUCAAA
rnacentral:lncRNA from 1 species